CUUAACUGCACCUACCUGGACCAUAUUGUUCCUCCCACCUAAUUGAGACGAGUCAUUUCUGAAGACCUCUCAAGAGAAAGGAUUAGAAAUGGCAAAGUAUCAAACCAAAAAAGAUCAAGUAGGAUAAAUUAACUAAAAUCACAAGAAACUUCAAUUAAAGUAGGAAAUACAUGAAGAGACUUGUAUACAAACUCCCAGAAGCAUGAGCACCAUUACCACCUCCUCCACUACUCUUACCCCCACUUUAUUGGAAAAGGAAGAGGAGAUUCAGCAGCCAGUCAAAAAAGAAGAUGGAAUAGAAAUCAGAUUUUUGUAAACAGAAAAAAAUAAGAAAACAUGAAUGAAGCACACCAAGCAUUUCAGAGAACAGACUAUUGAUGCCACAAUAGCAAAUUCAGAAAUUGAAAUUCCAAACUAAGAGUUGUUGAUGUGGAAUGUUUUUAGUCAAUUAUUAAUGUGUGGGCAAAUAGAGCAACAACAUGUACAAUAAAUUUGGGCAUUUUCUUCA